rnacentral:rRNA from 1 species
AACGUAGGAGACAAACGUUAUCUGGAGUUACUGGGCGUAAAGGGCGUGUAGGCGGUUAGUUAAGUCUGGCGUGAAAGCUCUCGGCUAAACCGGGAGAGGUCGUUGGAUACUGGCAAGCUUGAGGGCGGUAGAGGCGUGUGGAAUUCCGGGUGUAGUGGUGAAAUGCGUAGAGAUCCGGAGGAACACCAGUGGCGAAGGCGACACGCUGGGCCGUACCUGACGCUAAAGCGCGACAGCAUGGGGAGCAAACGGG